UUGGAGUGAAUCUGGAAGAGGGAGGCUUCUGGAUCUGCACAGCCUCAGCGAUAUCACAAUUCCAUGAAGUAAUGUCAAGGUCCCCUCCUUGUGGUACAUGGAUGGCAUCAACAUCAUUUGGUGCAUGUGGGCAAGGCAGGAACAGCCAGCUUCUCUGAACCCUCCGGGACCAUCUUCAUGGGAGCCAGUGCAUCAAAGCUGUAGUGAAUCAGCAUGUUUGUUGUCUUGUAACACACACUAACCAAUUCCACAUCCUCCACUACUACAAGUAAAUAAGCCAAACACACAGCAUAAGGUUUAAAAAUAAAAACAUGUUAAAAAUUAAAAAGCUAGAACUGAGAAAUCAGGGUCCAAUUAUGUUGAUGCAAGACAUAUUGCAGUUCAAGUCUGUGGUUCCAUGACCUCAGCCUUGAGUGGUAGCCAGAACUCUGACAAGGAAGAGAAGGAGCCAGCUAGGGGAGGAGAGCUGAUGCCAGCUGAAGAGGUGAUGGGCCCAGGUCCUGGCAGCUCGGAACCUCUGGAGUUCAAGAUCUCCAAACUGGUACCCCAGAGACAACACCUGAGCUAGAUUCAGCGUGGUGUAGUGGUUAGAGUGCUGGACUAGGACUGGGGAGACCCGAGUUCAAAUCCCCAUUCAGCCAUGGUACUUGCUGGGUGAUUCUGGGCCAGUCACUUCUCUCUCAGCCUAACCUACUUCACAGGGUUGUUGUGAAAGAGAAACUCAAGUAUGUAGUACAUCACUCUGGGCUCCUUGGAGGAAGAGCGGGAUAUAAAAUGUAACAACAACAACAACAACAACAACAGAAAUCACCAUCAGCCAAUUACAAAAAGCAGCUUUACUGGGAACAGCCUAUAUUCUGCGAUGAUAUCUAUAACAACAGCAACAACAUUGACAAUAAAAUUCUGGCAUCCCAGGUCCUUGGGAAGGACUUGAUGUCUGGAUAAAACAAACCAGUCAAUAACACCUGUCUGACUGUGUAAAAUAAUAAUAAUAAUAAUAAUAAUAAUAAUAAUAAUAAUAAUAAUAAUAAUAUAAUAUUCUGAUGAGAGAUUUGGUUAUCAGAUACACUGCAGGAAUAAUAGACUGGACCCAGGCAGAGCUAGAGGCACUAGAUCAUAAGACCAGGAAAAUCAUGACCAUCAAUCAUGCUCUGCACCCCCGCAGUGAUGUCGAUAGGCUAUACCUCCCUCGCAGCUCAGGUGGAAGAGGAAUGCUGCAAGUCCAUCAAACAGUAGAGGGAGGAGAAAAGAGGCCUUGAAGAAUAUAUCAAGGACAGUGAAGAAGAUGCACUUCAAAUGGUCAAUAACGUGAAACUAUUCAACACCAAUGAAAGAAAGCAGGCCUACAAGAAAGAACAAGUCAAGAACCGAGCAGAAAAAUGGAGAAAUAAGCCCCUGCAUGGUCAAUAUUUGCACAAUAUAAGUGGAAAAUCAGACAUCACCAAGACCUGGCAAUGGCUUAAGAAUGGCAACUUGAAGAAAGAAACAGAGGGUUUAAUACUGGCUGCGCAAGAACAGGCACUAAGAACAAAUGCAAUAAGAGCAAAAGCAGAAAAGUGAACAACAAACAGCAAGUGCCACCUUUGUAAAAAAGGAGAUGAAACAGUGGACCACCUAAUCAGCUGUUGUAAAAAGAUCACACAGACUGACUACAAACAAAGGCAUGACAAGGUAGCAGGGAUGAUACACUGGAACAUCUGCAAAAAAUACAAGCUACCUGUAGCCAAAAAUUGGUGGGACCAUAAAAUUGAAAAAGUGGUAGAAAAUGAAGAUGUAAAAAUACUAUGGGACUUCCGACUACAAACAGACAAACAUCUGCCACACAAUACACCAGAUAUAACUGUAGUUGAGAAGAAAGAAAAACAAGUGAAAAUAAUCGACAUAGCAAUAGCAGGGGAUAGCAGAAUAGAAGAAAAAGAAAUAGAAAAAAAUCACCAAAUACAAAGAUCUACAAAUUGAAAUUGAAAGGUUGUGGCAGAAAAAGACCCAAAUAAUCCCAGUGGUAAUUGGCGCCCUGGGUGCAGUUCCCAAAGACCUUGAAGAGCACCUCAACACCAUAGGGGUCACAGAAAUCACCAUCAGCCAAUUACAAAAAGCAGCUUUACUGGGAACAGCCUAUAUACUGCGACUAUAUCUAUAACAACUGACAAUAAAAUUCUGGCAUCCCAGGUCCUUGGGAAGGACUCAAUGUCUGGAUCAAACAAUAACACCUGUCUGACUGUGUAAACAAGAAAUAAUAAUAUUCUGAUGAGAGAUUUGGUGGUAGUGCCAUGUCAAUGACCAUGCAUUCCCAGUGCCCCUUGGCUGAUCCAGACAGUGCACCAGGCAGACCGGAAUUAAUGGAGAGGCAAAAGAGUGCUAGGCUCAAGGCCAGAAGAUUUUGCCAUCUGCAGCAGGAGGUGAGGGUGGGGCCUGAGAAGGGGUAGUCAGAACCAGGAGGUGUAAUGGCGCUCAGCUGAAAAUGAGUUUUGAUUGGAAAAAGUCUCUUGUCCUUGGGCUCUGUCCAGGGUCCUGAAAGACUUGUCUCCUACUGCUUUUGUUUCCAGAACUGGGACUGAACCCUACUUGAAUGUUGCCUGCCUCUCCUUUCCCUCUGCCUUAGUCUGCUUACUGGUUCUGUGACUUCCUAAACUGUCUAGGGCUCUGCCUUGCCAUGACUGGCCAUUCAGCUGGCAUAGCACUACAAUAGCAUGCAUGGUGGAGUAGCAGCAUGGACCCCUCUGCUCUUCUUUGCCGCCUAUGUGAGCCAGGACCUCCAGCCCAAUUGGCAGGGGGCCCAACUGGCAUGGUCCUCUCCCUGCCCUUUUUUGAGGGGCAUUACAUAGCAUGAACAGAUCCUCUGUGCAACUGGGCCUUUGCAGGGAGACUCCAGAACGGACAACAGUUUCUCUGCAUGGUAGAGAAAGGAGGCUUGUGUUUCUCCUGUGCUCUGAUACUUCAGUGCUGUGCCUGGUGAAUGUACUACAAUAAUGGCAGCAAAUAUUUAUAUACCACUUAUCAACAAAAGCACUCAAAGUGGUCUACAUAGAAAAAUAAAUAAUAACUGCACUGUUCAACUGCACUGGUUGCCGGUUGAGUCCCGGGUUAGGUUUAAGAUAUUAACUUUAACAUUUAAAGCUCUACACGGUAUGGGCCCUCCAUACCUCCAGGACUGCCUUGUUCAAAAUGUCCCUCGCCAGGUUCUGAGAUUGGCCACAAGUAAUACCUUGGUGAUCCUGGGUCCUUGGGAUGUUAAACUGCAAUCAACAAGAGCCAGGGCCUUCUCAGUGGUGGCCCCGGCUCUAUGGAAUGGUCUCCUGGAUAAUAUCAGAGCUCUCCAUGAUUUGUUGGCUUUCCGUAAGGCAUGCAAGAUGGAAAUGUUCCGUUGGGUGUUCGGUUGCUGAGAAAAGUUGGUCAUAGAGUGAACUGGUAAUCCAUGGUUAUUAUGUCUUGUAAUGAGUACUGUAUGGGCUUGUGGUUAUGAUGUUAUGUACGUUGUAUUUUAUAGAACUGUGUUGCUUUGUAUGUUAUCGCUUGUAAGCCACCCUGAGUCCUAUGGGAGUAAGGUGACAUCUAAAUAUAGAAAGAAAGAAAGAAAGAAAGAAAGAAAGAAAGAAAGAAAGAAAGAAAGAAAGAAAGAAAAGGUUCCUUGUCCCAAAAGGGCUCACAGGCUAAAAGAAACACAAGGUAGAAACCAGGAACAGCUGCUGGUGGGAUGUGAUGCUGGGGGUAUAUUGUAUUACUGCACAAAGAAUAUAUAUUGUAUUUUUGCACAAGGAAGGGAUCACCUCACCACAGUUUUCCAAGCAGCUGGAAGCAGGGCUAGUCCUCUUACAGGAUUUGUUUCUUUGUGGAGAGUGGUGCAAGAGCACUGGAGAUUUAUGGUGUAUUUCAAGUCAUAUGUAUAUAUUCAUAAAUAAAUAUACAAGCAGAGCACAUUGGAAGCAAGCAGACUCCAAAAGUAGUGGUACUGCUAGUCUGUAUCAGAUUCCCAAAGAGCAUCUGUACCCUAAGCAUGUUUCAGUUUUAGCCAGUUUCAGCUAAAAUGCCUCUGGCUUGCUUGUCAAGUCAUUUCCCCACUGCGCCACUAGGUGGCUGCCAUGUUUAUUUAUUAUUUAUUGAUUAAUCAAAUUUAUAUACCGCCCAAACUUUUGUCUCUGAGAGGUUAACAUAAAACAAUCAAAAACACAUAUAAAAACUUAAAACAAUUCAACAAUUCAAAAUCAGGCACAAAAUUAGAAUUGAUGAAUUUUAAAAAGUUGAAACGGCUUGGGUGAAGAGAUGGGUUUUCAGAUUUUUUUUAAAAAUUGCCAGAGAUGGGGAGGAUCGUAUCUUAGUUGGGAGUGCAUUCCACAAUCUUGGGGCAGCAACCAAGAAGGUCUGUCUCUGUGUAGCCACCAGAUGAGCUGGCAGUAAAUGGAAACAGACCUCCUCAAGUGACCUCAAUGGGCGGUGGGGCUCGUAGUGAGGAAGACGCUCUCUUAAAUACCCAAGGCCUAAGCCAUUUAGGGCUUUAUAAGUUAUAACUAGCACUUUGUAUUUUGCCCAGAAAGCUAUUGGCAGCCAGUGUAGCUCCAUCAGCAAAGGAGUAAUGUGGUCUCUCCUAGAUGACCCAGAAACCAACCUGGUUGCCGCAUUCUGAACCAACUGAAGUUUCUGGACUAUGUACAAAGGCAGCCCCACAUAGAACGCAUUACAGAAGUCAAGUCUGGAGUUUACCAACAAAUGUUUUGAGGUCAUUGAUCUCGAGAAAUGGGCGCAGCUGGCGUAUCAGCUGAAGGUUGUAGAAAGCACCCUGGGCCACCACCUUAACCUGAGAAACCAGGGAGAGGUGUGAAUCCAGAAGUACUCCCAGUCGGUGAACCUGUUCCUUUUGGGGAAAUGUGACCCCCAUCUAGAACAGGUAGGUCAAAAUAGUCUCUGGAGUUCUGACCUCACACAAUAAGUACCUCUGUCUUAUCUGGAUUCAACUUCAGUUUAUUCUCCCUCAUCCAGCCCAUUACUGCUUCCAGGCAGGCAUUUAGGGAGGAUAUGCUAGCUCCUGAAGAAGUUGAUGUGGAGAAGUAGAUCUGGGUGUAGAUCUACCCAGUAGUAAGUAGAUCAUCAACAUACUGGUAACACCCAGCUCCAAAUCCCCUGAUGAUCUCUCCCAGCAGUUUCAUGUAGAUGUUAAAAAGCAUUGGAGAGAGUAUGGACCCUUGAGGGACACCAUACUUAAGCUCAGAUUUCUAAGAGCAACAAUCUCCAAUCAACACCAUCUGGAAUCUGUCCGAGAGGAAGGAGCGGAACCACUGUAAAACAGUGCCUCCUACCCCCAACACUCUCAGACGUUAAAGAAGGAAACUAUGGUUGAUAGUAUCGAAAGCCAACAAAAGAUCCAAAAGGACCAACAGAGUCACACUUCCUCUGUCAAUUCCCAAUUGGAGAUCGCCCAUCAGCCGAACAAGGCAGUCUGCACCACAUAGCCCACCCGAAAACCAGUUUGAAAUGGGUCUACAUAAGCAGUUUCCUCCAAGACCGCCUGGAGCUGAGAGGCCACCACCCUCUCAAUUACCUUGCCCAGCCAUGGGAGGUUGGAAACAGGCCUAUAAUUGCUCAACUCUGAGGGAUCUAAUGCAGGCUUCUUUAGAAGAGGUCUAAUAAUUGCCUCCUGGAGACAAGGAAGCAUGCUGCCCUCCCUCAGAGAAGCAUUUAUGAUUUCCACCAGGCCACCUACAACAGCCUCCCUGCUAGAUAGAACAAGCCAUGUUGGACAAGGGUCAAGAGAACAAGUGGUAGGUCUCAUUGCCCCAAGCAGCUUGUCCACAUCCUCAGGAGUCACAAACUGAAACUGAUCCAGUCAAAUUGCAUAAGAGGAGUUUUUGGACACCUCCAGUUCAGACAUCAAAUUAAUUGUGGAGUCUCCAUCUAAGUCGACCCAAAUCUGAGAGGUUUUAUCUGCGAAAAAUUAUUUAAACACAUCACAGCGGGUAACUGAUGACUCCAAAUUCUGGUUCAAGGGAGAGGGGGUGGAUACUAGUCCCCUCACAACCCUGAACAACUCCACUGGACAUGAACUUGCAGAAAAGAACUGCUUCUUUGCCGCACAUAUUGCCUGAGCGUAGAUCUUUAAAUUUGUUCUAUGUCAUAAUCUGUUGGAUUCAAGUCGAGUCUUUUCCCACUUGCGCUCCAUUCACCUACCUUGCUGCUUCAGCCCCCGUAGAUCUUCCAUAUACCAAGGGGCCAGUUUUGAAGUGGGUCGGAGGGGACACUUAGGAGCAAUCAUGUCACAACUGCCCUGGUGAGCAAGUUGUUCCAAUUCUCAACCAGGGCAUCAACAGGAUCACCGGCGGAGCCAACACUGAAUUCCUCCAAGGCUUCUUGGAAUCCUACUGGAUCCAAUAACCUCUUUGGGUGAACCAUUCUAAUAGGUUGCUCACCCCUGCGGAGGUGGCAAGUGGUUGUAAGUCCAACCUUAUCCAGAUAGUGGUCCAUCCAUGACAAUGGGGAAAUGACACCACCCUGAUCAGAGUAAAAGACCAAAUCAAGUGUGUGACCUGCAAUAUGCGUCAAUCCAGAGACCGCUAUGUGAUGGAUAGACAGACAGACAGACAGACAGACAGAUAGAUAGAUAGAUAGAUAGACAGAUAGAUACCUUUGAAGUAGUUAUGGAGGGAACUUUUAGAAAAAUGGUCUUCAUGGUGUUGGAUGUUUAAACUGAGAUGGUAAGCACUUUGAGGCAGGGACCAGUACUUCAUUCAGAUUUCUCUGUUAAGCAACAUGUAUUCUUAUGGCACUAUAAUAAUGAUAAUUAAUAAUGUGUUUUAAGAGCAGGACGGAAUGGGUUUACAACUGUAUAUGGUUUGAUUCUGAUGUACACACUUUGCUCAGAUAAAGCCUAAUACCCACCUA